AUUGAACGCUGGCGGAAUGCUUUACACAUGCAAGUCGAACGGUAGAGGGGGCAACCCCUCGAGAGUGGCGAACGGGUGAGUAAUAUAUCGGAGCGUGCCCAGUCGUGGGGGAUAACGUAGCGAAAGUUACGCUAAUACCGCAUACGAUCUAAGGAUGAAAGCGGGGGAUCGCAAGACCUCGCGCGAUUGGAGCGGCCGAUAUCAGAUUAGGUAGUUGGUGGGGUAAAGGCUCACCAAGCCAACGAUCUGUAGCUGGUCUGAGAGGACGACCAGCCACACUGGAACUGAAACACGGUCCAGACUCCUACGGGAGGCAGCAGUGGGGAAUUUUGGACAAUGGACGCAAGUCUGAUCCAGCCAUUCCGCGUGCAGGAUGAAGGCCCUCGAGUUGUAAACUGCCUUUGUACGGAACGAAAAGGUCUCUCUUAAUACGGGGGACUCAUGACGGUACCGUAGGAAUAAGCACCGGCUAACUACGUGCCAGCCGCCGCGGUAACAC
rnacentral:rRNA from 1 species